CGCACGCUGGUACACUCAACAUGGCCGCGCAGUCGGUCGCUCAGAGGAAUCAUAUCCUGAUUCGACUACUUAUGUCUUAAAUACUGUGUCAACAGCUGCUGCUCAGCCUGCUCUCACUAAAUAUUCUCUCUUUUCUGUGCCCGUGAACAAUGGCAUUUAAUGACAUACCCGUCGAUACUUUUAAAAAUAAAUAGAUGAACUUAAGCGCUUUCUCUUCCAUAUCAUUAAGUAUCUCAAAUGCGCACACUGUGGACUUUUACACUCGUGAUGUUUGGAGCACGUUUAUGUGUGUGAGUCCUGAUGACGUGCUGUGUGCUGUCAGUUCCACACAAGACCGCAUGAGGGCGAUAGAAGAGAAGGAAAACACUACUUUUAGCUUCUGCAAUGCCUCAAAGAAGUUGGUGGACAUAUCAGCCCUGCUGAGGGCAGCAAAAGCCCACUGUUUACCAGCUCUGGGGGUCUGUAUGCAGCUGGAAGAUCUGAUGCAGAAUCUGAGACUGAUGACUGGAGACACUACAGCAGGAGAGUCAUCAGACAAAGUAGUAGCACCGGAUGAGUUUAUGAACUGUAAGAAGGCCCAUGAGGUGCAGGCAAUGUCUGAGGUUGUGGCUAGUUUGGUAUGGAGUUUUGUGUGUGUGUGUGUGUGUGUGUCUUUUUUAUUCAAUCAA